GAGUUCCAUCCAGUUCAGCUUUCGGGGUUACCUACGAAUCUUCUAUGGUUCUCUUCACCCUGUGGAAAGUCCCCGGAGACAAGGCGGAAAGCGUCACACCGUGAAGGUGCAGGCCGGUGCGGCGUCGUAGGGUAGGUCGACCUGCGCGAUGUCGCUCCGUAGCGUUGCUCAGAGCACAGGGAAUGUUGAGAGGACUCUGUCCAUAACCAAAUGGGGCUUACUCGGAACGGAACU
rnacentral:RNase_MRP_RNA from 2 species